CCUACGGGCGGCUGCAGUAGGGAAUAUUGGACAAUGGGCGCAAGCCUGAUCCAGCCAUCCCGCGUGAAGGAUUAAGGCCCUCUGGGUUGUAAACUUCUUUUCUUUGGGAAUAAAAACUCCGAUUCAUCGGAGCUUGAAGGUACCAGAGGAAUAAGCACCGGCUAACUCCGUGCCAGCAGCCGCGGUAAUACGGAGGGUGCAAGCGUUAUCCGGAUUCAAUGGGUUUAAAGGGGGCGUAGGAGUCAUUGGUGAAAGCCCGGAGCUCAACUCCGGAACUGCCAUUGAUACUGCUUAGCUUGAAUCAGGUCGAGAUGGAUGGAAUAUUACAUGUAGCGGUGAAAUGCUUAGAUAUGUCAUAGAACACCGAUUGCGAAGGCAGUUCACUAGGCCUGUAUUGACACUGAGGCACGAAAGCGUGGGGAUCAAACAGGAUUAGAUACCCCAGUAGUC
rnacentral:rRNA from 1 species